rnacentral:rRNA from 1 species
AUGGUCAUUUCCUUAGGUUUUGUUUGGCUUGCAUCUGUUCAUUUGUGUCGGUUCUGUCGUUUUCUAGGGGAUGCCUGGUUCCCAGUGCUCACUCCUGCCAUGUUGGCUAGAAAUCGGAAGAGGCAUAAAUUACUUAGGGGCCUUCGUUGCCAUGGUGUUACAUGUACUGGUUUUCUUGGUCGGGGUUCCUGUCUUUCCGUCCUUAGUAUCUUUGUUUUGGCUGUUGUUUCUCAUAACAACAUGCAUGUAGAUCUUUGGUUUGAAGGGGACUUGCCAACUGAUUGGACUGGUUUUCCUGUCGAGGUAGUUGACAAUCGCAAAGGUACUAACUAUUAG